UACGUAGGCAGCAAGCGUUGUUCGGAGUUACUGGGCGUAAAGGGUGCGCAGGUGGGUUGGCAAGUUUGAUGUGAAAGCCCCGGGCUUAACCCGGGAAUGGCAUUGAAUACUGCUGAUCUGGAGGAUCGGAGGGGGGACUGGAAUUCUUGGUGUAGCAGUGAAAUGCGUAGAUAUCAAGAGGAACACCAGUGGCGAAGGCGAGUCCCUGGACGAUACCUGACACUGAGGCACGAAAGCCAAGGGAGCAAACAGG
rnacentral:rRNA from 1 species